UGUAUUCCUGUUCCAAUACUAUAUAUAGAGGAGAGCUAGUCUUGCUUUCCAAUCACUUUAUCAUCAGCCAAAGAUUCAGAGCAUUUAGAGAAUAUCAGAUCACAGUUUUUGCAUCGGACAUCGAGAGCAUCUCUGGAAAAACACUGUGAGUAUUUCAUUUACCACAAAUAGAAAAAUGUGUGCAUACUGGUUUAAUAAAUCAUCUAUACCUAUGGAAUGAAAGCUGUAGCACAAAUACAACAAUUAAACACCACCUAAUGACAUUUUUAUUUUGUAGAUGACUUCCGUUAAUAAACUUUCGGUUUUUGCCAUUUUGAUUUUCUGCACAAUGUACAGCAGUGUAAUGUCACGCGGUUGUAGCUGGCAGUGUAGUGUGGUGUGCUAUCCAUGCAGAGUUCAGUGUGGAGUUCGUUGCACCUGGGGCAAACGUACCGAAAUUGACAAACCACAAAAUACAGUUCGGGUUCCAUUUCCAGACAAGUUUAAAAACUAUGAUCUUGACAAAAGUGGUGGAAUUACUUUGGAAGAGCUGGCCGAAGCAAUAAGCGUGGAGGAACACUCCAAAGGAACCGUGAAAGCUUUCCAACUGGCAGACAAAGAUGGUGAUGGACAGAUUGAUUGCAAUGAAUUUAAAGCAGCACCGUAUCUCUUCGCGCACGAUCCGUCCUGCCGCGGAACUUAAUAAACUCAGGCACUUUCUUUCCUUUCUUUAAUGCAUGCAUGAUAGUGACAAAACGAGCAGAUUAAUUAUAUUUUUUGACUAGUAAUGUAUGUUUGGUAGUGGACCUAGUAUUGUAGAACUUGUAAUCUAACAUUUUAAUUUUUAAAUUGCGUGAUGUGAAAUAGAACGAUGUUCUGUCCAAUUGCUUUUUAGUAUCCCGGCCUAUAAAUCGUCCAUUUCAAUUGACAGAUCGACCUUAUCACCGUUCAGUCAAAUAAGCUUUGACCUGAUAGCUUAUAUUUUCAGCACGAAUAUUCUUGCUAUUCUGUUUUUCCUGCUUUAGUAGAAAAUGGUCAUGCUGAGUACAAAAUCCCUUGAAGCAAUUAGUGCCAACGGGCAUGUUUUUGAAAAGGAGAAUAAACGAGGUUUAACGCGGAAUACGAAAAUGUACACAUAUUUACGGCGAAACAUUGAGACGCAUGUAGUAAUUAGCGCCGCUUGGCUACAUCCUUAAUCAAUCUACACUCCCCUUAAAAAAACCCUGCUGAAGAAGACUGUUAGGUCGAAACGCGUACAGGGUUGCCUUUCCUAUUCCAAUUCAAUCUCUCGCUCUUAUAUAUCCUCGCCCUCAUCGUGUCACAUAAUAUUCACAUAUUCAGUUACUAUCUAAUCGUAGUUUUCCUUGUUUUUUGCGUACAUGUUCACCAUCAGAGGAGUCGGAGUAAAUAAAUAAAGGAUAACCAUUUGAACUACUGGUCCUCUUCAUUUAGGCUACACAAUGUCUUACACCAGUACUUGUCCAAUUACUUAUUUCAUACCAACCAAUGAAUGAACGUCGUAGAUCUUAAACUCGUGUUAUCGUGUACAACGCCUGACAUGUGGAUAAUUAGAGCUAUUUCAGUAACCAGUCCGCACGGCGUUAAAACGGUGUUGGUCGCCAAGUUUUGCGCGUGUCUCCUGAUGCAAUUAUAUACCUAAAUAAAAUAUAUGAAACUACCGGGUGAACUGUACCCUGUUCGAUUUCGUGUAACUUAAAACCUAUAAAAGUUAUCCCUUGUAGAAUCUGACAUAUUUAUAACCUAUUUUAUACCUAUUUUUUCUCUAUUUAGCCCUAUUUUUUCCGUAUUUUUCAAAAAUAUGAUUAUUUUAUUGCCGUAUUUAUCAAAUUUCAUAAAAUAGUAUAUGACUAUUUACACUCUACUUAAAAUAUAUGUGAUUUAUAUUUUUCAAAGAAAUAGCUUUUAAAUAGGUAUUCAAAUCCUAUUUGAAAGAGUAAUUGACGGAAUCUCAAUAUAAAAUAGCUUUUAAAUAGCUAUUUAAUUCCUAUUGAUGACAAACGAGUCAGUUAAAAUAGUUUUAAGUAGCUAUUUUUAAACUAUUUUUGCUUAUUUUUUUGGAGCCAUUCUUAACACAUUUAUUAAAUAGCAAAAUAAAUAAAUUUUAAAUAGCUAUUUAAUUCCUAUUAGAAAGUUGUGGCAAACUUUGGUCCAAAAUAGCUAUAAAAUAGCUAUUUUUAAACUAUGUCUGCUUUUAUUUUUGGAGCUAUUAUUGAGUAUUUUUAAAAUAGUUAUUAAAUAGGAAAAUAAAUAGAUCUUAAAUAGCUAUUUAAUUCCUAUUCAUAGAAAGUUGUGGCGAACUUUGUUCCAAAUAGCAAUUAAAUAAGAAUUUUUCUGUGCUAUUUUUAAACUAGUUUGCUUUUAUUUUUGGAGCUAUUAUUGAGUAUUGUUAAAUUAGUUAUUAAAUAGGAAAAUAAAUAGAUCUUAAAUAGCUAUUUAAUUCCUAUUCAUAUGAACUUUGUUCAAAUGGCUAUUAAAUAGCUAUUUUUAAACUACGUUUGCUUUUAUUUUUAGAGCUGCUGUUAAAAUAGCUAAUAAAUAGCAAAAUAAUUACACUGGCCUGUAGGCCAAGUGUCUUAAAUCCCUCUUUUUCUGUUUUCGACGAGAAAUGGAGUUUUCGUUAGGUCAUCGAAGGCUCAGGGUGCAACAUGCUCCAGUGACAUAUUCAGUUCAGUUUCAAAAUGAUGGCUUUUCACUGAGCGAUCUAAUAUAUAUUUCACACAGUUUCGUUGAAUUUUUAAAGAAUUGUGCCGGUUUCCUAUGGAUUUUACGUUGUGUUGCACUCUGGCCUUUCUUGCGUGUUGAAUUAGUGUGUUUUUCUUUGUGUAACGACUCGAAAACCCCAAAAAUUGGACCCAGCGAAUUUAUACGAUAUAGUGGAAUAUAAACAAGGACAAGUUAAAGUUUUUAAUUAACAAGUAUAAAUAUACGUUAUACGUAGGCUCGUAAACAUGCGUUGUGCUCUUGUAUUUAUUUGCAUAAUUAUAAAUUUGCACCUAAUUACAUUAAUUUGCGCCAAAUUACUUUCUAAUUCAUCAUAUAUUACUAUAAAAUGUAUGUUUUCGAUUGUAUUCAGCGAGGUCAGUGGCGUUGCGUGCGGCGAAUUGAAACGUGAUACGGUUCGAUUUGUUUUUGGAACAAGAUCCAACUCCCCCCCCCCCACUUUUUUAAUUCUCAAAUUGCUUAUUAGAUGUUUACUGGUUGGGGUUAGAGAAGGGCUUUGGGUUGGGAUCAGUUUAUCUUAUAAAUGGAAGCAAAUUAAAUUGGCGUAUUUUUUAGAAGAAUCGUCUACGUCUAUGAACUUUUUAGCACCUGAAACUAGUCAUAUAACGGCAUUAAAAAUCAAGGACUAUAAUUUCUUCGCUAUUAUUGGCCCGUCAUUAUUCACGGUUGGUAGUUGAUGAUCAUAGUAUUACAGUGGGCCUGGCUUGUCAAGUUGAGUUGCCCGUAGCCGGAGGGUACGUCUGAGCCGGCGUCUUGGUAUAUUAUGGUUGAUAGUUGCUGAUCAUGAUUGUAUUUAUUGGUUGUAUUUAUAUGAUCCAGUAUCCCUAUGAUCCUGUAUCCCUAUCUACUUCUCUACUACACAUUACACCCAGUACCACGAAAGUUGCCAUUUUCAGGCCAGUGUGAACGCCUGAGCAGGCGUCUUGUUAGAUCUUAAAAAGCUAUUUAUUUCCUAUUCAUAGAAAGUUGUGAGAAUUGAGAAAGGGUAAAUCUAUUUAUUUAACUGGUCAAAAUUUCCCAGUUUGAGUUAAUUUUAAAUUUUUUAUGAGUUCAUUGAAACUAUAUUUACAAAAAUAUUUAUAGUCUUUGUGGAGGUAGGUAUUUUGUCUCUUGACAAAACACCACCAAAAAUUCUCACGAAGAGCGCAAUUUGACAGACCCACAGACUGGUGCCUAAUUUUCCAACAACACGCGCAAAGCUUUCUGGGAUAGCGUCACAAUUCACACCGUCAUAUUUAAAAAUUUUUGCGUUUAAACUUUCCGCUCGAAAUACUCAAAGACAGAGCAUUUAUUGAGCGAAAGUAAUACUUAUUUAAAAGAUUAAAGAUCAGGAAUGACUGGGCAACAUCCAGGUAAGCAAUUUUGAAAGGAAAUAUUUACUAUCUUCAUUCGUGAAUUUUGAGCACAUGUUCCAGCUUAACAUUUCAAUUUGCUUCGACAAUAUUUGAAUUAAAAAACAUUUGUUUUAUAGAAAGGCUUACAUUUGACUCAGCCUUUAUAUUAAAUGUUGUUUAUUGUAAUGCCAAAUAGUAUACUUUGACCUUUGUGUAUAGUGUAUAUGACAGAUUGCCAGAUUCCAGUGUUUCUUGUAUAAAAUAAUAUAGCUUGCCAUCUACUCAAAUCUCAUAUGCCUACCCAGGCAUGUCCCAGCUAAACAUGGUUUGAGAAAAUUUAUCGACUGGUUUCAAAUUAACUGGUACUUUCAUAAGUUUCCAAUAUUUAUUCAUAUGUAGGUGGGUCAGUUUAGAAUAGAUCAAAAUAUCAAUUUGAUGUGUUGUUGUCAUGUGUGGCAACUUGAUUAUAGACGUGACCCUAACUGAAAACAGUUAAAGUCUUUAGUUUGCUUGUUCAAACAUAUGAAUACAUUUAGUUACCCCACAUGUCUUCAUGAUUUGCUUAAUAAUAUAUGUAACAACCUUUGGGCUUCAUUUUAUAUAUUUUAGAGACACCGCGGCAAGGAUUUGAUUGUUUUUUGGAAUUACCCAUUUCACUCCAAUGAGCCCAAUAUUCAGCACUAUGUUAUUAAAUGUUAUCUUGCCUAAUGCCGGACAAUUUUAUUUGUCAAGGGAAGUGUCUAGCUAGAGUGCUACACUCUGCCCAUGUUUCAUGUUGACAUAUAACACUUCCUACUUAAGUACUUUGAUAUUAUUAUUUAACUCUGACAUUUCAUGCAUGGUAGACAAUUUUACUUACCAACUGUGGCAUGCUGGCCCAUAUCUCACCUAAAUAUUGAGACCUAUAAAGGAGCAAUUUCCUCUUAUGUUACCUACUUGAAGUUCUUUGUAGGGGUGUGCAAGAUAGAAUGUUUUUGCUAUCCAGCUAGAUAUAUGUUGGAUAGUUGAAAAAUAUCCAGCUAGAUUCAGGGUAUUAUUCAAAUAUAUAAAUGUCAGUUUUUCUAUAACCUGUAAAGAAGGCCUGAACUUAGUCGAGCUUCGCCCUAUUCUUGAUGUUACAUGAUGUUCUUGCUUUUCUUCUGCCCAGUCCCCAGCCAAGUUACUGUAUGUAAUACUUAACUCUUUGGCUACUAUAGAGAGUGCUAACUACAGAUUUUCAACUCAUUUAUUGAAAGACCUCUUCCUGCUGAUAAGUAAAAUUGUCUGGCAUUUAUAGAAGAUAAAUACUAAAGUAGGUCUGUAAUAGCCUCUGAUGUUUCAGCACUUCUACACUUGUUCUCAAUUUCUUUUACUAAUUAUAUUUUAUUUAAAAACUAUUUACAUUAUAUGUUUUAACUUUUUAUUAUCUAUGUUUUAAUUACUGGUAUUUAUAAUAUAUUUUAAAAAUAUUUAUAGGCUAUAUGUAUUUGUAUACACUAUAUUUAAUAACUAUUCUAACUGUAUUAACAGGACAUAUAUUUUAACUAUUUAUUUAAUAUGUUAUUACUAUUUUUUAACUAUUUUUAAUCUAUUUGGGCAAUAUUAUAUCCACUAUUUAUUAUCUAUUCUUAACAAGCUGGGAUGUAUUUUAACUAUUUAUUAUCUAUUUUUAAACUAUAUUAUUACUAUUUUUGAACUAUUUAUUAUCUAUUUUUAAACUAUAUUAUCACUAUUUUUGAACUAUUUAUUAUCUAUUUUUAAACUAUAACUCAAUAUUUUUGAAUUAUUUAUUAUCUACUUUUAAACUAUAUUAUCACUAUUUUUGAACUAUUUAUUGACUAUUUUAAAUUUUGUUGAAAUUCAUUUCAGCUAUUUAUUACAUAUUUUUUACCUAUAUUGUCACAAUGUUUUAACUAUUUCAUACAUAUUUAUUAACUAUGUCGAAACUAAAUAUUUUUAAUAAUUUCCUUAAAUAGCUCUAUUUUUCUCAUAUUUGAAACCUAUUUAAUUUCUAUUCGAGUACAUCAAUUAAGUAUUUGUUUAGAAAUAUAUCAUGAAUAGGAAAAAAAUAUGGUUCGACUUGGAUAGGAAAAAAAUAGCCUUUCUACCCUAAUUUAAAUAGGAAAACACAUAGAUAUCUUAUAUACACUAGAUAGUGCAUCUAAUUAUUCUGCAAUUCAAAAAUUGAUGAGCCGUGAUUGCAGACUCAGGAUAUUCCCAUGAAAUGAGAAGACUCGUAUGUUUUCUAUUUCUUAAACAGGGAACUUAAACAUUAAGUUAAACCUAUCCCAAAUACAUUUUCAAACUAUCAUAAAUGAUGAACGUUAUUGUUGUUUUUUAAGCGUUUAUAUUAGCGAGUGGGAAACUCCAACAUGGCCGCCAUCUAUUCAAAUGGGAGUAACCGCUGGAAUAUUCUUGGCCUCAAUUUUACUAAAAGAGAUGCACUAUUUCGAGGGGCAUUUCACUCCAAAAAAGCGUACGGGAUUUUCGGAUUUUUAAAAAUCCGCGGAUUUUUUAGCGGAUUUUUGAAGAGAAAAUUUGCUGGAUUUGUUCGGAUUUUCCGGAUUUGUUCGGAUUUUUUCUGGAUUUUUGAAAAUCUGUUGGAUUUUCCGGAUUUGUUUGGAUUUUCCGGAUUUGUUCGGAUUUUUUCUGGAUUUUUUUUAAUUAUAGAGUUAUAGAGCUAGGUAACGUUUUGAACAAAUAAUCUUAAGUUGUACGAUGUCAACGUUAUGCCAGGACGUCAGGGUCGAGCAGAGGACUGGGACUAGGACCACAGCCUUCUGAAACUAUUAACGAAGGCUGGGCAUGCAGUCAUUUUGUUUAAAAUUCAAACAAGUUCAUUAUUCUUUCAAAAGCAGUAAAAGACAAUGGUGAAUAACCUUUGGUUUUGUAAUUAUAUUUUACAACAUAACGUCAUUGUAACAAGAACACAUAUUUAGUAGUAAUAGGCUAAAAAAAACUUAGCGUAUACUCGAGCGUAUAAAUGGAAAUGUAGAGUGGUCCAAUAAUUACGAAAUAUAAUGACAGCCGAGCGAUCACGGUAAGCGUUUAGCUUUCGCUGUCCGCCAUCAGUUUGAACGUGGGAAAGAACCUUUACGAGUAAAUUACACCAAGUACUUCAUAUAUUUUUUGUGGAUUUGCGGAUUUUUUAAGGAUUUUGAAGGAUUUCUGUGGAUUUUUGAAGGAUUUCUGUGGUUUUUAAAGGAUUUUUUGGAUUUUGAUGGAUUCAACGGAUUUUGAGGAUUUCAUGGAUUUUUUCUGGAUUUUUUCCGGAUUUUUUGACGAAGUGUACGGGAUUUUUGGAGUGAAUUGCCCCUCGCACUAUUUAGUGUAUAUAAGAUAUCUAUGGAAAAACCUCGAAAAAAAAUAAUAGUAAAAAUAGGAAAUAAAUACUUUGAUAAAUAGUAAUUAAAUAGCCCAAUCAUAAAAUAGGAAUUAAAUAGCAAUUAAAUAGUGUUUGAUUCUACAAGGGAUUGCACUAAAAUAAUGACCGCUGUAUUCACAAAGCAUUAACUUUGAUUUUGAUAUAUAACAUUUAAUUUUCCGUGCGAUAUUGCCGGAAAUACAAGUGUUUGAAGUUGCGAGGAGUUUUAGAAAUUGGCGGAGAAACGACGAAAAUCGCCGCGUCAAACUAAAUGGAAAGCAGUUGUCACUUUACAAGGAAUAUUUUUAACUUCAUGGAAUCUUUUUAACUUCAGUGAUUUCAUCUUUAAUUCUAGUUGAUUUUCUUUUAAACUUAAUUUUAAAAAUAAAAGUUGCUCUUAAAGAUUAAUUCUUAGGAAUAAAACAAGUGGUAUUCAGCAGCCAAGGAAUCUUAGACAAUUGCGUGAGGCAAGAUCGUUUCUUUUAUUAACUGUGUUUCGAUCAACAGAUAAUCCAAAAUGUUUUUGUCUGCAUGAUGUUCUAGAGCACAACGGUGCAUUUAGGCUCAAAGUCACGCUUUUGCUGAUGAGUAGACAUACAUUAGAUAGUUUAAUCCGUUUGUACGUCAAUGCAUUCUUUUAGCCAGAAUAAAAUUAACAAGUAAACUAAUUUCGAAUUUGAUAUGCUGUUUUAUGCUAAUAUUUGACGUUUUCAGCAAAGGUAGUUUAACUUUGAAAUGUCAAUAGGUCUGUUAAUAUCGCGCGUAAAUUAAAUAUUAUAUAUUAAAAUCUAUGUUAAUCACAGUUUGUGUAUACAAUGCUUUUAUUUUAGUGAAAUAGCUUUUAUAGGCUUUACGUUACAUGAAAUCAAACAAGGUAUAUUUUUGGGGGGGACACCCGGUAUAUUUGAAAAAACUGUUGUCAAUCUGUUUGUAUUCACAGCAGGUAAUUGAAAAUUAGUAUGUGCAUGUGUUUCGUUUAAUAAUAAGAAAUUAGUUACUUCAGUUGUGUGAGUUGCAAUACGAUAUAUUUACGAUAACGUCGUGAUAAAAAGACCCAAUCAAGGCCGAUCGAACUGUUUUUCUAUCAUAAAGAUUUAUAGAUUCAACUGAUUAAGCCCGCCGCACACGAUAGCAACUUGCUGAGCUAACCGCCUCGCGAGGCAGCUAGCUCAGCUACAUGUAUUUUCAUCUUUCACCGCACACGUUGGGAAACUACUCAAUAACAACAUAAUUGACAAAAUCAUUUGCAUUUUCCUACAUUUUGUUCCAAGUCACAUGAAGAAACCAUGGUUUGUCAUUGGCUAAUUGAUUCAAACAGCUCAGCACUUAGCUCACAACAUCCGCAGACGCUGAGAUUUUUUCCUCGCGAGGCGAAAAAUAUCAAACACGAAUAUUUUCCUCAAGGCCUCGAGAGGUCAAAAUCGGCAAUUGCAAGAUAAUAUACUUCAAAAUAAGGUUUCCGUUUUUAUAUCAAUUUUUAAAAUGAUCAAAAUAAGUUAGGGUUAGGUUAGGGUUUAGGUUAGGGUUAGGUUGGGGUUAGGGUGAGGGUUAGUAUUAGGGUUAGGGUUUAGUUUUGCGUUAGGAUAGUUUUUUCUACGUUAUAAAAAUGGAAACCUUAUUUUGAAGUAUACUAUCUAGCGAUCACCAGGUCAAAUCCUCACGAAAACUAUUCGCACACACUGAGAGCAACUUGCUUCUAUAUGUCCAAUGAUUCAUUCAAGUAUUAUUAUUGUUUUCGCUAUUUCUAUAUUGUACAGUAUGCAGUGGUAAGCUAGGUUAGUGCAGCUAGCCAAGGCAACUGGUAAUGCCAUGCUAAUAAACAUGUAAUCCAAAUCAUUAAAAACUUGCAUAGCAUAUACAUGUUACUAUGGCUAUUUUUACCAUGGAUGAUAUACCACAGAAAUCAACUUGAAACAUAUAAAAUUUAAUUCUGAACAAUUUUUUAGCAGUGAGAAUGGAUUUAUGCUUAAUAAGCAACCAUGAUCUCGGAGAACAAGAUCCGUGAACAUGAGAAUCCGCAUGAUGCGUGAAAGGAUUAGCGUUUCAGUUGUUGGUAACCAUGGUGUUCUCUCAAAGUAAAUGAAAAUAUGACAUAAACUCAGUGUGCAAAUACCAAAGCUAGCGCAUAUUUGUGUUUAUAUUAUACAGGCUAAUUUAGCGGAGACUCUUGUGGUCAGAAACAUGUAGUCAUCUUUGCUUAAUCAUGCAGUUGAACCUAAAUUUUUAUAAUGAAACAAAUCCCAUUAUGCCGCAUGAAUCAUUGUAAAUAUGGUAUUGUGGUACGUUGCAGCUCUAUACAGUAUGUCUCUAUUUAAUAUCGUUGUAAUUCAACAAACCUUAGGUUUGCACGAAUUAUAAUAUACUGAUUUGUGCGGCCAGCCAAAUAGUGAAAUUAUAAUAAAAAUAUAUAUGUUUUUUAUCAACAGACCGAAAACAGUACACGAAAUCUUUUUGUUUUAAAACCAUGGCAUGUGCAAACGCCAGAGCUAGCGCAAAUUUGUGUUUACAUAUUACACAGUCCAAUAAUCCUAGACCGGGAAGCCGACCGCAAACAGUACAUGAAAUCAUUUUGUUUUAAAAUCAGUGAGCACACGCCAAAGUUAUAUAACGCAAAUUUUUGUUUAUAUUAUACAGACCGCAAUUUAGCGAAGACUAAGCUCUUGUGUUCAGGAAGAUGUAAACGUCAAAAGCUGACAGGUUAAGAAGUUGUAUAGCCAUCUUUGCUUAAUCUGUUGAACCUAAAUCUUUGUAAUAUAUAAACAUAGUUCGAUUGGCCUCGAAUGGAUCUUUUUAACACGAUGUCAUAGUAAAUAUAUCCUAUUGCAACUCGCACAACUGAAGUCUGUAACUCAUUUUUUAUUAUUAUUAAGCGAAACACAAAUGCUAAGUUUCAAUUACGUGCCGUGAAUACAAGCAGAUUGACAACAGUUUUGUCAAUUAUAGUUUAAUGUAAUUUAGGUCUAAUUGAAUCAGAAGAAACGGGCUAAUUUUGGCGACCAACACGUUUUUCGGCCGUGCAGAUUCUUAUAAUUGGUUACUGAAAUAGCUCUCAUUAUAUCACCACAUAUCAGGUGUUACAAUUUGCCUCGCGUUCUCCACAGAGACGCCUGGUACGAGGAAGUCGACGUUUAAACGAUAACGAAAGGCAAGAAACGCGCUGACACGAAAUAAUCGCCUAAUUAGGCUUGAAAUGUAAAUAUAUUAAAUGGAAAAAAUCCAGUGCAACUGAAACGGACAUUCACCAUUAUAAUAAACAUACAGUGUCACAUUUCGGUAAAGCAAGACCGAAAUAUAAAGACUAAACAAUUAUCACAUGCACAAAAUGGUCAGAUAAAUUUCGAGCAGUUCACCACUUUUCAUUUUGUAAUGGAUUAAUGCAUUAAAAGAAACGCAUAAUUCUAUUAGAUGAUGUACGAACAUUGCACAGCAUAUAAAGCGGGGAUAUUUUAGAAAAGGGACGUUUAAACUUUAGUACUUUUUGAACCUCAGCUUUGAUGGGUUAGGGCGUUCAAAAAACAAUCUAACGAAAAAUAUAUACAAUGUAUAUAAUGCAUACAGUCGAACCCCUAUUAAGCGGACACCUUCGGGACCUCGCCUAAGUGUCCCCUUAAAAGAGGUGUCCGCUUAAAAGGGGUAUGUAGAAAAACACAGCGGGAGGCAAAGGUGUGUAAUUAGGUUUGUAAUUUGAGUAUCAAAACAGUAAAAUAUAUCUAGCAAAUAAUUAGGAUAAAAUGAAAAUUUCUUUGUGCAUAAAAGUUCAUUAGAAAAUGUGUACGUCUCUCACAGUCAUAUAAAAAAGGAAUCGAGACAAGCUUGCUUUCGAGGCUUACGCAGACGAUAGCCCAUUAUAAUGUCAUUUACAGAAAAAUGGCGUUGGAGGACGAUUUAAUGAGAUCUAGAGACCAGUCAAAUUCGUCAUCUUCGUUCAGUUCGUUGUGAGCAUCAGUGAUCUGACACAUAUCUUUUGGCUCCUCGGCUGGCGGUUCACAGUCCUACGUGGAUCCGUCCUUGUUCGUCACUUCCUCAAUGAUCUUGGCUCUGAUGUCUUCGUGCCAAUUUGGUGUGUCACUGUCAAUAUGCCAUGUAAAUUGAUCUCAAUUGUUAUUUACUGUCGAAUAUUGAAUACAUUUUAUCAGACAAUCUGUCAUCUGUCCGCUUACGAGAGGUUGGUUUGCCCAUUGGGACCUCAAGUAAGGUGUCUGCGUCCGUUAAAGAGGGGUGUCCGCUUAAUAGGGGUUAUGAUAAUAGUAUUUUAUUAAAGAAAACGAAUGGGACCUGAGAUAUGUGUCCGCUUAAAAGAGAUGUCCGCUUAAGAGAGGUGUCCGCUUAUAGGGGUUUGACUGUAUACACAUUAUAAUACAUUAUAUAAUACUUGUACAAUGGGGCCCGUCAAAGAAUACAGCGGGUAGUCAGUGAACCUACUUGUCGUCUUGUUAUGUAAAAUGUAGUAUUUGGAAUAAUUUGACAGCAUGCAUAUAUAUUUGAUUUAUGGAAAAUAGAUGAAUACAUAUAUGCAUGCCAAAACAGCAUGAGAACACGCAUCUUUUAAAUAUAUGUGUUGAAAUUUAGAUGCACUUACACAUCGGAUUUUAAGUACUGUACAAAAUUGCAUUCAAAGCUUUCAGUUUUUUUAUACACCCUGCAUGAUAUCACUCAUUUGUCGCCCAGAUUCAGAAUUCGCAUUGCGCGCACCCUGGGUACGAGGUUGUCGAUGUUUACAAGAUUGGAAUGGCCUUACACCAAACAAUCACCAAAAUUUACAUGUCUUGUUCCUGAAGCGGGUAUUUUACUUUAGAAAAAUAACAACUAAACCAAAAAUUAUGUAUAGCUGUUCCAAUACUAUAUAUAGAGGAGAGCUAGUCUUGCUUUCCCAUCAUUUUAUUAUCAGCCAAAGAUUCAGAGCAUUUGGAGAAUAUCAGAUCACAGUUUUUGCAUCGAACAUCGAGAGCAUCCCUGGAAAACACUGUGAGUAUUUCAUUUACCACAAAUAGAAAAAUGUGUGCAUGCUGGUUAAAUAAAUCAUCUAUACCUAUGGAAUGAAAGCUGUAGCACAAACACAACAAUUAAACACCACCUAUUUCAUUUAUAUUUUGUAGAUGACUUCCGUUAAUAAACUCUCUGUUUUUACCAUUUUGAUUUUGUGCACAAUGUGCACCAGUGUAAUGUCACGCGGUUGUCGCUGGCAGUGUAGUGUGGUGUGCUUUCCGUACAGAGUUCAGUGUGGAGUUCGUUGCACCUGGGGCAAACGUAGCGCAAUUGACAAACAACGACAUACAGUUCGGGUUCCAUUUCCAGACAAGUUUAAAAACUAUGAUCUUGACAAAAGUGGUGGAAUUACUUUGGAAGAGCUGGCCAAAGCAAUAAACGUGGAGGAACACUCCAAAGAAACCGUGAAAGAUUCCAACUGGCAGACAAAGAUGGUGAUGGACAGAUUGAUUGCAAUGAACUUAAAGCAGCACCGUAUCUCUUCGCGCAUGCACGAUCCGUCCUGCUGAACUUAAUAAACUCAGGCAAUUUCUUUCCUUUCUUUAAUGCAUGCAGGGUAGCGCAAGGGUAGCGCAGAGUAGCGC